rnacentral:rRNA from 1 species
UAAAGUGGCGAACGGCUGAGUAACACGUGGGCAACCUGCCCUUUGCACUGGGAUAGCCUCGGGAAACCGAGGUUAAUACCGGAUACUCCAUAUUUGUCGCAUGGCGAAUAUGGGAAAGCUCCGGCGGCAAAGGAUGGGCCCGCGGCCUGUUAGCUAGUUGGUGGGGUAGUGGCCUACCAAGGCAAUGAUGGGUAGCCGGGUUGAGAGACCGACCGGCCAGAUUGGGACUGAGACACGGCCCAGACUCCUACGGGAGGCAGCAGCG